UACGUAGGUGGCGAGCGUUGUCCGGAUUUACUGGGCGUAAAGGAUGCGUAGGCGGAUUUUUAAGUGGGAUGUGAAAUACCCGGGCUCAACUUGGGUGCUGCAUUCCAAACUGGAGAUCUAGAGUGCAGGAGAGGUAAGUGGAAUUCCUAGUGUAGCGGUGAAAUGCGUAGAGAUUAGGAAGAACACCAGUGGCGAAGGCGAUUCUCUGGACCGUAACUGACGCUGAUGCACGAAAGCGUGGGGAGCAAAC
rnacentral:rRNA from 1 species